rnacentral:rRNA from 1 species
UACGUAGGGUGCAAGCGUUAAUCGGAAUUACUGGGCGUAAAGCGUGCGCAGGCGGUUUUGUAAGUCUGACGUGAAAUCCCCGGGCUCAACCUGGGAAUUGCGUUGGAGACUGCAAGGCUAGAAUCUGGCAGAGGGGGGGUAGAAUUCCACGUGUAGCAGUGAAAUGCGUAGAGAUGUGGAGGAACACCGAUGGCGAAGGCAGCCCCCUGGUCAAGAUUGACGCU